CCUACGGGCGACAGCAGUCGAGAAUCAUUCACAAUGGGGGAAACCCUGAUGGUGCGACGCCGCGUGGGGGAAUGAAGGUCUUCGGAUUGUAAACCCCUGUCAUGUGGGAGCAAAUUAAAAAGAUAGUACCACAAGAGGAAGAGACGGCUAACUCUGUGCCAGCAGCCGCGGUAAUACAGAGGUCUCAAGCGUUGUUCAGAAUCACUGGGCGUAAAGGGUGCGUAGGCUGUUUCGUAAGUCGUGUGUGAAAGGCGCGGGCUCAACCCGCGGACGGCACAUGAUACUGCGAGACUAGAGUAAUGGAGGGGGAACCGGAAUUCUCGGUGUAGCAGUGAAAUGCGUAGAUAUCGAGAGGAACACUCGUGGCGAAGGCGGGUUCCUGGACAUUAACUGACGCUGAGGCACGAAGGCCAGGGGAGCGAAAGGGAUUAGAUACCCGGGUAGUC
rnacentral:rRNA from 1 species